UUAUAAAGUACUUUCAGCGGGGAGUGAAGUGUGUUGAGGUUAAUAACCUCAGCAAUUGACGUUACCCGCAGAAUGAAGCACCGGCUAACUCCGUGCCAGCAGCCGCGUGUAAUACGGAGGGUGCAAGCGUUAAUCGGAAUUACUGGGCGUAAAGCGCACGCAGGCGGUCUGUCAAGUCGGAUGUGAAAUCCCCGGGCUCAACCUGGGAACUGCAUUCGAAACUGGCAGGCUAGAGUCUUGUAGAGGGGGGUAGAAUUCCAGGUGUAGCGGUGAAAUGCGUAGAGAUCUGGAGGAAUACCGGUGGCGAAGGCGGCCCCUGGACAAAGACUGACGCUCAGGUGCGAAAGCGUGGGGAGCAAACAGGAUUCAGAUACCCUGGUAGUCCACGCCGUAAACGAUGUCGACUUGGAGGUUGUUCCCUUGAGGAGUGGCUUCCGGAGCUAACGCGUUCACAGUCGACCGCCUG
rnacentral:rRNA from 1 species